GAUGAACGCUGGCGGCGCGCCUAACACAUGCAAGUCGAACGAUUAAAGCACCUUCGGGUGUGUAUAAAGUGGCGAACGGCUGAGUAACACGUGGGCAACCUGCCCCUUUCAUUGGGAUAGCCACGGGAAACCGUGGGUAAUACCGAAUACUUCGAAACUUCCGCAUGGAAGACUCGAGAAAGCUCCGGCGGAGGGGGAUGGGCCCGCGGCCUGUUAGCUUGUUGGUGGGGUAACGGCCUACCAAGGCAAUGAUGGGUAGCUGGGUUGAGAGACCGACCAGCCAGAUUGGGACUGAGACACGGCCCAGAAUCCUACGGGAGGCAGCAGUGGGGAAUCUUGCACAAUGGGCGAAAGCCUGAUGCAGCGACGCCGCGUGCGGGAUGAAGGCCUUCGGGUUGUAAACCGCUUUCAGCAGGGACGAGGCGAAAGUGACGGUACCUGCAGAAGAAGCCCCGGCUAACUACGUG
rnacentral:rRNA from 1 species